rnacentral:rRNA from 1 species
UACGAAGGGGGCUAGCGUUGCUCGGAAUGACUGGGCGUAAAGGGCGCGUAGGCGGUUCGUACAGUCAGACGUGAAAUUCCUGGGCUUAACCUGGGGGCUGCGUUUGAUACGUACGGGCUUGAGUGUGGAAGAGGGUCGUGGAAUUCCCAGUGUAGAGGUGAAAUUCGUAGAUAUUGGGAAGAACACCGGUGGCGAAGGCGGCGACCUGGUCCAUUACUGACGCUGAGGCGCGAAAGCGUGGGGAGCAAACAGG